rnacentral:rRNA from 1 species
GUGAGGAAUAUUGCACAAUGGGCGCAAGCCUGAUGCAGCGACGCCGCGUGGGUGAAGAAGGUUUUCGGAUCGUAAAACCCUUUUCUGUGUGACGAGGAAGGACGGUAGCACAGGAAUAAGUCUCGGCUAACUACGUGCCAGCAGCCGCGGUAAAACGUAGGAGACAAACGUUAUCCGGAGUUACUGGGCGUAAAGGGCGUGCAGGCGGCAGUCUAAGUCUGGCGUGAAAUAUCCCGGCUUAACCGGGGAAGGUCGUCGGAUACUGGGCAGCUCGAGGGCGGUAGAGGCGUGUGGAAUUCCGGGUGUAGUGGUGAAAUGCGUAGAGAUCCGGAGGAACACCAGUGGCGAAGGCGACACGCUGGGCCGCACCUGACGCUAAGACGCGACAGCAUGGGGAGCGAACAGGAUUAGAAACCCUAGUAGUCC